GGUUGGGCGGGCUAAGCCUCGCCCUCCGGCGAAAUGGAAAAACCCUUGUGUGAAGAGUGCUGGGGACUGAUUUUUAUAAAGCCCUCUCCUGACCCGGACCAGUUCCAUUCCUCCUACUGGAGCUUCGCAGAGCCCUGAUGGGGUACAGUUCCUGGCGUUGUGCAGCGGCGAAACUGACUCUUAGAAAGGUUGAGGAACUUGCCCCGGGUCACACAGCUGGGGAGUGGUCGAGCUAGGAUUUUAACCCAAGUCGUCCGGCCUCCAAAAGCCAGAUUCUCUCCGACGUUAGCGCCGCGCCCCCAGGGCGGAGGACUGCGUUCCCUAACACCGCAGACACAACUAAGGUGCCUUGGGUGUGAUUGAAAGACGCGAACGCGGGCCACCCAUCUCUGGCUGAUGGGUGGCUGCGCCUGCAGCCCCCGCAGGGGCUGAGCGUCGGCGGGAGCCGCUCGGGCUGUUACCGUAAGUCUCAGAGGAGCGGGGCACAACGGGAAAGGUAACGAAGAGCAGGACGGGCCGGAGGGCGCCGCGACGUGGAGAGACUGCGUUCCCGGCUCAGAAGCCUGACCUUGAAGGAGUGAGGGUGCGCACGCGCCCGAGGCAAGUCAGCCUUACUGUUCUUGGAAAGAAUUAGAAGAGGAAAGAAAGGUCACUGCUUUAAAAAUAGGCAUGGAAAGAGCCAAAGGAACCCAGAUCCAGGAUGUAACUGUGCCCUGGUCUUCGGCCCUGAGGAAGGGGUCUGUACUUUCACAAGCGGCAACAGCCAGGCGACGAUUUUCAUCUUAAAUACAGCCCAUCAGCAACUGAAGAACCACAUGACCUCCAAAAAUUGACCAGUCUUCUUUGGAUUCCUUCCUUCCGUCACAGCCCUCAGGCCCCCCCCCCCCCCCCCGCAUAGGCAGCGGGAAAAAAGGAAAAGCUCAUGUGCUCAGGCUCUAAGGUAAGAGCGUGACAGGCACACGUUCAUUCAUGUCUCACAGCAAUCCCUGGAGGGGAGCAUGGGUCUCCCCACUUUACGCGUGAGGAAACUGAGGCAGAGAGAGGUUAAGCAACUGGCCUGCAGUCCCACAGGCCUGAGGCAAACAAGAGCCAAAGGAAAACCCAGGCUUGUAAAUAUGCAGUUUAACUUCCAAUAGCUAUAAAUCUACUUUCCCUAGGGAUGUAAAUUCUGAGAUCUUAUGAUCCAGCAGGAAAGGAGCAGCAAGGAGCUGGUCUACAGUGCAGUGAGGCCUGGAUUUUGAGUCCAGGAGGGAGAGAGACAGACCCCAGGGACCUUUGGGAAGGUAGAGGAUAAUCUAUAGCUGCGAUAAGAACAGAAUCCAUGGUGGAGGACUGCUCUCAAAUUUUCCCAGCCAAGAUUUCUGAUACUUCAAAGACAGUUGGUGGCAAGUAGGAUGAUGUGCUUGGAAGCCAGACAGGCCUGAGCUUCAACCUCAACUCUGGCACUUACUGGCCGGUGACCUUGAGCGGACCAAAGCUGCAGGAUGUCAGAUCUAAGAAACAAGCCACCUGCCUCUCAGAGCAGAUUUAAGGAGAUACAGAAUGGAAGAGGUCCUAGCACAGUGCCUGGCCUCCAGGGGGUCCUCGAUGAGAGUAAAUUCCCUGUUGUCCCCCCCUUGGCAAUGCCCCUACUUCACCUCCUGUGUCUGUGAUUCUCCUUUCUCAAUAUUGUACCCUUGGUGAGUGAGAACCAGCGGAGAAUGUCAAGUGAAAGGGCAUGGCCCAGGGAACCAAUAAUAUGCUUGUGCCCCUCUCCCUGCAUGGUGACUGACAUUUCCCAGAAAUAAAUAACUGCAUAGCA